rnacentral:rRNA from 1 species
AUGUCACAUUAUUGGGGUGACGGUGACAAUCAGAGGAGAAUGCACAGGUUUGCAGGGUGGAAGUUGUGUGUGCCAAAGAAAGAAGGUGGAAUGAGAUUUCGAGAUAUUCAUUGUUUUAACCUAGCCCUGCUUGCGAAACAGGCUUGGAGAUUAAUUGACAAUCUGGAUUCCAUUUGUGCCCGUGUUCUCAAAGCCAAACAUUAUCCAGAUUGUGAUAUUCUAAAUGCAACUCUGAAAAAGGGAGCCUCAUUCACAUGGCAAAGUAUUAUGUCGAGGGUCCAUACACUAAAAAGAGGUCAUAUCUAG